rnacentral:rRNA from 1 species
AUUGAACGCUGGCGGCAGGCCUAACACAUGCAAGUCGAGCGGAUGAAGGGAGCUUGCUCCUGGAUUCAGCGGCGGACGGGUGAGUAAUGCCUAGGAAUCUGCCUGGUAGUGGGGGAUAACGUCCGGAAACGGGAGCUAAUACCGCAUACGUCCUGAGGGAGAAAGGGGGGGAUCUUCGGACCUCACGCUAUCAGAUGAGCCUAGGUCGGAUUAGCUAGUUGGUGGGGUAAAGGCCUACCAAGGCGACGAUCCGUAACUGGCCUGAGAGGAUGAUCAGUCACACUGGAACUGAGACACGGUCCAGACUCCUACGGGAGGCAGCAGUGGGGAAUAUUGGACAAUGGGCGAAAGCCUGAUCCAGCCACGCCGCGUGUGUGAAGAAGGUCUUCGGAUUGUAAAGCUCUUUAAGUAGGGAGGAAGGGCAGUAAGUUAAUACCUUGCUGUUUUGACGGUACCAACAGAAUAAGCACCGGCUAACUUCGUG